AAAGAAACUAACAAGGAUUCCCUUAGUAACUGCGAGUGAAGAGGGAAGAGCUCAAAUUUAAAAUCUGGCAGUGUUUUGCUGUCCGAGUUGUAAUCUAGAGAAGUGCUGCCCGUGCUGGACCAUGUACAAGUCUCCUGGAAUGGAGCGUCACAGAGGGUGAGAAUCCCGUCUUUGACAUGGACUACCAGUGCAUUUGUGGUGUGCUCUCAAAGAGUCGAGUUGUUUGGGAAUGCAGCUCUAAAUGGGUGGUAAACUCCAUCUAAAGCUAAAUAUUGGCGAGAGACCGAUAGCGAACAAGUACCGUGAGGGAAAGAUGAAAAGAACUUUGGAAAGAGAGUUAAACAGUAUGUGAAAUUGUUGAAAGGGAAACGCUUAAAGUCAGUCGUGUCGGCCAGGGAUCAACUCAGCUUUCUCUGCUGGGUGUACUUCCUGAUCUGAUGGGCCAACAUCAGUUUUGACUGCUGGAGAAGGGCAGAGGGAAUGUGGCACCUUCGGGUGUGUUAUAGCUCUCUGUCAGAUGCAGUGGUUGGGACUGAGGAAAGCAGCAUGCCGCAAGGCCGGGUCGUUUCGACCACGUUCAUUGCUGAGGAUGUUGGC
rnacentral:rRNA from 1 species